AUGUACAAAGAACUCCACACUCUGCUAGCAGCGUCCAAGGGCAGGAUUCUUGUACAUUUCGUUACCCUGCCUACUCGAAAGAAUGGAGCCGACACAGGGGGACAUAAGGCUUGCUGGCUAACCCCUUUAAUUAUCGGGAUGGUAAGGAGGGCAGCCAUCAAUCCCCUGAAGACUGCAGAGUACAAGAGCGUGUAGCAAGCCACCAGUUCCCUCUUACCCUUCCAGAAGACAGCAUCAGAGUGUGCUGGUAAUUUUGAUGGGGGAGUUCAGGAGAUGGAGCGCAACGUGAUUCAAGACAAAAGAGUCUCCAUUCUGAUUACUGCUCCAUUGUGUGACAGAGCAAAACAUUUCAAUGUGGUUGAGACUGAAUUUGAGUCAAGAAAAUACAAGUUGCAGGUAAAAAAAUGUUUUGUAGUCAUUGAAAGUUGAGGGUGAGGUGGGAGAGACUCGUA
rnacentral:lncRNA from 1 species